UACAGAGGGGGCAAGCGUUGUUCGGAAUUACUGGGCGUAAAGGGCUCGUAGGUGGCCAACUAAGUCAGACGUGAAAUCCCUCGGCUUAACCGGGGAACUGCGUCUGAUACUGGAUGGCUUGAGUAUGGGAGAGGGAUGCGGAAUUCCAGGUGUAGCGGUGAAAUGCGUAGAUAUCUGGAGGAACACCGGUGGCGAAGGCGGCAUCCUGGACCAUUACUGACGCUGAGGAGCGAAAGCCAGGGGAGCAAACGGG
rnacentral:rRNA from 1 species